AAUUCUCAACCUUUCCGGUUUUUGUUAACCUGCAAGGCUUGGAUGUGGGAGUUGCGGGCUUCUUCAGAAGUCGGCUCUCCUUAAAUGCAUUAGCAAGACCUUUGUUGACCAUCCCUGGUGUGAUAAUUAUCUACGCCAUAGAGAAUCAGCUUCAUUUAUGGGUUUUGCUUAUAACCGUCCUCACGGACAACUCCUGACA
rnacentral:misc_RNA from 1 species